rnacentral:lncRNA from 1 species
GAUGCAGCCAGUGCUGUGCUGAGACAAAAGCAGCUUCAGUGCUGUGCUGAGCUUUUUCUUCCUCUACUACUGCAGGAGACACGAGCAGUAUGAGAUGCUGCUGUCUGGUGUAAUGGGCUGUUAUUGAAGAAGAGAGAGCUUUUCCACAGAUCUCCCUGGGCAUCCGAUCACUCCUUCAAAGAGGCCUCCUGGGAAUUUUCAUUACUAUUUGGACAGAAACCAAAAUUAUGCAGACCAAACCUUCAUUUAAUAUUGCAUUAAGCCUUUCAAAGGGCAUCCUUUUACUACAAAACUGAAGAAAGCACUGGAAGUUGGAGCACGUCUUUUAAGGGUUUCCAGGCAGCCGGU